GUGGGGAAUCUUCCACAAUGGACGAAAGUCUGAUGGAGCAACGCCGCGUGAGUGAAGAAGGGUUUCGGCUCGUAAAGCUCUGUUGUCGGGGACGAAUGUGCAGUAUUUGAAUAAAGUACUGCAAUGACGGUACCUGACGAGGAAGCCACGGCUAACUACGUGCCAGCAGCCGCGGUAAUACGUAGGUGGCAAGCGUUGUCCGGAAUUAUUGGGCGUAAAGGGAGCGCAGGCGGGAAGGUAAGUCGGUCUUAAAAGUGCGGGGCUCAACCCCGUGAUGGGAUCGAAACUAUCUUUCUUGAGUGCAGGAGAGGAAAGUGGAAUUGCUAGUGUAGCGGUGAAAUGCGUAGAUAUGGGGAGGAACACCAGUGGCGAAGGCGGCUUUCUGGACGGUGUCUGACACUGAGGCGCGAAAGCUAGGGGAGCGAACGGGAUUAGAAACCCGGGUAGUCC
rnacentral:rRNA from 1 species